rnacentral:rRNA from 1 species
GGCUUAGGAUGAACGCUAGCGACAGGCCUAACACAUGCAAGUCGAGGGGCAGCACAAGGAGCAAUCUGAGGUGGCGACCGGCGCACGGGUGAGUAACACGUAUGCAACCUGCCUGUAAGCGGGGAAUAACCCGUUGAAAGACGGACUAAUACCGCAUAAUACUAAAUUACUGCAUGGUAAUUUAUUUAAACAUUUAUGGCUUACAGAUGGGCAUGCGCAUGAUUAGCUAGUUGGAGAGGUAACGGCUCCCCAAGGCAACGAUCAUUAGGGGUUCUGAGAGGAAGGUCCCCCACACUGGUACUGAGACACGGACCAGACUCCUACGGGAGGCAGCAGUGAGGAAUAUUGGUCAAUGGACGAGAGUCUGAACCAGCCAAGUCGCGUGCAGGAAGAAUGUCCUUAAUGGAUUGUAAACUGCUUUUGCAGGGGAAUAAAGUGCAUCACGUGUGAUGUUUUGUAUGUACUCUGCGAAUAAGGAUCGGCUAACUCCGUGCCAGCCGCAGC